GAUUAUCUUUUUCCUGUCCAUGUGCUCAUUGCAGGGAGAUAGUGAACAAAUGAUUAUACUGGGGAUUUUUUUAUUUAUAAGAUCUAAUGUAAAAUCACCACUUGCAACUUUUUAGAUCUGUAUGUUGCCUGUUUAAUAUAUUCUUUUAACAUUUAAAAGGGUUUUCUAUCCAUUGUUAAAUUCAGUUAGGUGACAUUUCGUCGUGUGUUUUUUUUUCCUGAUUGUUAAUUUGAUGCUAGCUGGAAUUCAAAAGAUGACAUUGACCUUAUUCAAAUAAAGAAAUAUUUUAGU
rnacentral:lncRNA from 1 species